AUUGAACGCUGGCGGCAUGCCUUACACAUGCAAGUCGAACGGCAGCGGGCCUUCGGGUGCCGGCGAGUGGCGAACGGGUGAGUAAAGCAUCGGAACGUACCGUGUAGUGGGGAUAACGUAGCGAAAGUUACGCUAAUACCGCAUACGCACUGAGGUGGAAAGCAGGGGGAUCGCAAGACCUUGCGCUAUACGAGCGGCCGAUGUCAGAUUAGCUAGUUGGUAGGGUAAAGGCCUACCAAGGCGACGAUCUGUAGCGGGUCUGAGAGGAUGAUCCGCCACACUGGGACUGAGACACGGCCCAGACUCCUACGGGAGGCAGCAGUGGGGAACUUUGGACAAUGGGCGAAAGCCUGAUCCAGCCAUGCCGCGUGAGUGAAGAAGGCCUUCGGGUUGUAAAGCUCUUUCGGCUGGGAAGAAAUCGCACAGGCUAAUACUCUAUGUGGAUGACGGUACCAGCACAAGAAGCACCGGCUAACUACGUG
rnacentral:rRNA from 1 species